UUGAAGUUGUUGAAGGAUGGACCAAGUAAUAACGAAGUUGGAGGGUCUAGCUCUCAAACACAAUAUAUGAAAGACCCUAAGAGAGUAAGGUGCAAAGGAAGGUGGAAACAAGUAACGGGAGCAAAGGAAAAGCCAAUGAAGCGAGGGAUUCGACACUGUCGGGAGUGUGGAGACAUUGGUCAUGAUAGAAGACAAUGCCCAAGAAAUUUGAACACACCGACAUCACCGUCAAACAAUGAGGAAUCAACUCCAAUAGAUCUCAGUGACCCAUUAUUCGACGAAUUUUACAGGAUGCACGGACCUACCGAAUGAUUUAUGUUUGUAUUAUACAAA